GCCUCCUGGUAGUCAGCAGCAGUUGACAAAUGACCUGAUUCCACAGGUGCUUCAAAAUGGAUUCCUUGAGGACCUGUUCCAUGAUUUUGCAUCUGGAUGAGGAUUUUGCCUCCGGGUGGGACCCCUUUGCAAUAAAAAAAUCCAUUAUUUUCUCUGCUUUAGUACCCCCCAAUCUAGAAUGAAUCCACCACCCUUUGAGAAGAAUUUUUCUGGUGUGAUUCAAAACAAUGAAACUUGCACAGAGAUUUCUGGUGCAUAGUAAUAUUCAUUACCUGGCUACCUUUUCAGCAAAAUCAAGCACUGAGGCCCAUUACAGACAACGUGCUACAUAUGCUUACUUUUUACCAAUACAGACAAGCUGGCAGGACAACUAUCAGUAUGGGCAUGUGAACAAUGCUGUCUACUACAGCUAUAUCGACUCUAUAAUCAACCAUUUUUUGAUCAGGUAUGUAUGCUGCUCCUCAGGGACU